rnacentral:rRNA from 1 species
AUUGAACGCUGGCGGCAUGCCUUACACAUGCAAGUCGAACGGUAACAGGUCUUCGGAUGCUGACGAGUGGCGAACGGGUGAGUAAUACAUCGGAACGUGCCUAGUAGUGGGGGAUAACUACUCGAAAGAGUGGCUAAUACCGCAUGAGAUCUACGGAUGAAAGCAGGGGAUCGCAAGACCUUGUGCUACUAGAGCGGCCGAUGGCAGAUUAGGUAGUUGGUGGGAUAAAAGCUUACCAAGCCGACAAUCUGUAGCUGGUCUGAGAGGACGAUCAGCCACACUGGGACUGAGACACGGCCCAGACUCCUACGGGAGGCAGCAGUGGGGAAUUUUGGACAAUGGGCGAAAGCCUGAUCCAGCAAUGCCGCGUGCAGGAUGAAGGCCUUCGGGUUGUAAACUGCUUUUGUACGGAACGAAAAGCUCUGGGUUAAUACCCUGGGGUCAUGACGGUACCGUAAGAAUAAGCACCGGCUAACUACGUGCCAGCAGCCGCCGCAGUAA